GGAUUGUAAACUCCUGUUGUUGAGGAAGAUAAUGACGGUACUCAACAAGGAAGUGACGGCUAACUACGUGCCAGCAGCCGCGGUAAAACGUAGGUCACAAGCGUUGUCCGGAAUUACUGGGUGUAAAGGGAGCGCAGGCGGGAAGACAAGUUGGAAGUGAAAUCCAUGGGCUCAACCCAUGAACUGCUUUCAAAACUGUUUUUCUUGAGUAGUGCAGAGGUAGGCGGAAUUCCCGGUGUAGCGGUGGAAUGCGUAGAUAUCGGGAGGAACACCAGUGGCGAAGGCGGCCUACUGGGCACCAACUGACGCUGAGGCUCGAAAGUGUGGGUAGCAAACAGGAUUAGAUACCCUGGUAGUCCACACUGUAAA
rnacentral:rRNA from 1 species